GAGAAGCUUCGACUAAGGUUCGAUUCGAGCGCAGCGAGAAAGCGUUGCCGCAGGCAACGACCCGAAGGGCGAAG
rnacentral:sRNA from 1 species